rnacentral:rRNA from 1 species
AAUGCCGCGUGUGUGAAGAAGGCCUUCGGGUUGUAAAGCACUUUUGUCCGGAAAGAAAACCUCUUGGUUAAUACCUGAGGGGGAUGACGGUACCGGAAGAAUAAGCACCGGCUAACUACGUGCCAGCAGCCGCGGUAAUACGUAGGGUGCGAGCGUUAAUCGGAAUUACUGGGCGUAAAGCGUGCGCAGGCGGUCUGUUAAGACCGAUGUGAAAUCCCCGGGCUUAACCUGGGAACUGCAUUGGUGACUGGCAGGCUUUGAGUGUGGCAGAGGGAGGUAGAAUUCCACGUGUAGCAGUGAAAUGCGUAGAGAUGUGGAGGAAUACCGAUGGCGAAGGCAGCCUCCUGGGCCAACACUGACGCUCAUGCACGAAAGCGUGGGGAGCAAACA